CUUUCCCUCAUUCAGAACAGAAACUGCACCCCAUCUCUUCACGUGAAAAACCAGAGAGAGAACAGUGAGAGAACUCGAGAGAGCAAGGGGGAGGUCGCCGCUCAAGCCGCCACCACCGCCGGGACGCCGUCGUACACGCGAGAGAGAGCUUUGCGAGAGGGAGAGAGAAAUCGCGAGGGAGAAGGAAGGUGAAGGGGACUUGGACAGCAAGAGAUUGUUCUUCCAAACUUCAUUCUCUUCUCUUUUCAGAUCAAGAAUCAAGGGUCUAAGUUCUCAAGGAAAAAUGUAUAUUUUCAUGAGACUUGAAGAAUUUUUGGAUCAUCAAGGUGCCCAGCGCUUGUCAGUGGCCGCCCAGCGCCUAUGGCGGUUCCAGAAACCCAACCUUGAAGUAAUUGGGCGCCCAGCGCCCAUAAAGGGGCGCCCAGCACUCUGCACAGAUGCAGAAAUCAUUAUAAAAGGAUUUUUCUUCAGUUUCAAAAGGGAACUCAAUUUUGGAGACUUAGAACAGAACCCAAACAGAGAGAACUUGAAGGAGAUCAUCAAGGAAGGUCUAGGAGGCUAGAGAGAAGGCUUUGGAGCCGGGUUCAUCGCCGGGGAACCGUCACGGAUUCGGUUUUUCAUCGUUCUUCUUCUCUUUUAUGAUUGUAAAGCUAUCCAUGGAAAUGGAUAGCUAAUUUCUCAUUUAUUGGGAUUAGAACUAGUUGUUUUGAUGCUCAUGUAAUCUAUUUGAUUUCCUUUCAUGCAAAUUUGAUGUUUCUAUGUUAAAGAAUCAAUGGUUUUCUCUUUUGGUCCAUGCUAUAUCUUAGGUUGAUCCCCUUGGGUAUUUUGAUUGAUUCAAACUUGUGUAGGGAACUCACACGUUCUUGAGUCUGAACUAGAGUUAAUCAUAUGUAUCUUUGCCAUGAUUCAAUGAUUUUACCUUGUGCUUUAUGCUUGUUUUGGAUUGAUCACCUAGAACAUGAAUUUAGGUUUAAUAGGAUGGUGGGAACUAGCUAUUUAAACCUGAAAUAGGUAAAAUCAUCUAAUGAUUCUAAGGUCUAGGGAUAGGGUUAGAUCAUUAGUCCAUUCAAACAUCCAUGCUUAAUGCUACUCACUAUUGUUAAUCGAUCAAGGGAUUGAGGGUUAAUAUAGCUGAGUUGAUAAUCUUCUACUCCGGGGGACUGGGUAGUAAGAUAAGAAAUGGUGGGAGGAAUCAAUUUCAUAGAACUAUAUUUGUAUGUGAAUCAAUAGAAUACAUAGAGGUCAGACAACGAAACUCUAAUCUCAUCAAAACUAUCUACCUUGGUGAAUCCAACUCUUUUAUCUUCUUUAUUUAUGUUUUUAUGUUUUUAAACAAACACCUAAUAUAUUUGUAAACCAUCAUUUAAGUUUGUUAGCUAUUGAACGACAUAAGUAUUACACCUCCUUGUGGAUACGACAAAACCCUUUACUAUACUACAAUUGAGUCUUGAGAGAUUCAAACGUAGAGUGGUAAAAAUCUUUCAACAACUGGACAGCGAGCUUCAGAGCCUAAUAUCACCUAAUUCUGGGUCUCAGAUGAAAAAGUGAUAAACUAGAAAGUUGUAGAUUUUCAAAAUAGCUUUCCAGGCAUGUAUAGUAUGUCAAUUUCGGCUGAGGAAUGAAUUCUGGAGACCAGUUUUAAUGCACACUGUUCCUGCUGUCUAAAUGCUAGGGUUCGAGUAGAAGAGGAACUUGGACAGCAAGGAGCAGAUUAUCCAAGCUUCAUUCUUCCAUUCUUUUCAGAUCAAGAAAUCAAGAUGGUGACCACCACGAUAUUGGGGACUAUCGUGAGAUGGGAGAUCGUUCUGAGUAGGCCAGCGGAAGACCGACUCUGGGAGACCGACGGUUCCGGAGUCCGGAGAGUCUACGUCGGCGAUGCGGAGCUCUUAGGGAGGAACAGAUCUGGGACGGUUGUGGAGAGGCAGAUCCUUAGGGGGAUGGGACUGUUGUGCUGCCACAUCCUCCCGCUAGGUUUCAUCAGACUACAGUGGACGAGGAGGAAGAGGAUCCUUCGGAGGACACUACAGUGGAGUCACGGUUGGUCGAGGAGGAGGAGGCAGUGGAGUCUUCACCACCAGAGGCCAAGUCGAGAGUCUGUGCGCAGCGUGUACCUGGGCGUCCAAAGUGCUUUAGAGUGGGACCUCGAAAGAGCGUGAUAAAGCUGGAGCAGUCUAAGAAGAGUGCGCAUGGAGCGGGAGCUGACGUUCCGGAGCGGGAUCAGGAUUAGAGUGUUCCUUUCUGUGGGGCUGGGAAUUCGUGUCGAACUAUUAUUUAUCAUUUUUACUUUCGGGUUUUCUUUUGAUGUACUUUGAUGUAGGGCUUCAGCCCAAGGUUUAAUUUAUGUACUUUGGAGUUACAGUUUCUUUAUUUAUGAGUAUUUCUUAUUUAUUC